CGAAAAACCUUACCCACCUUUGACAUGGCAGGAAUCCCGAAGAGAUUGGAGUGCUCGAAAGAGAACCUGCACACAGGUGCUGCAUGGCUGUCGUCAGCUCGUGUCGUGAGAUGUUGGGUUAAGUCCCGCAACGAGCGCAACCCUUGCCAUUAGUUGCUACGAAAGGGCACUCUAAUGGGACUGCCGGUGACAAACCGGAGGAAGUGGGGAUGACGUCAAGUCCUCAUGGCCCUUAUAGGUGGGGCUACACACGUCAUACAAUGGCCGGUACAGAGGGUAGCCAACCCGCGAGGGGAGCCAAUCCCACAAAGCCGGUCGUAGUCCGGAUCGCAGUCUGCAACUCGACUGCGUGAAGUCGGAAUCGCUAGUAAUCGCGGAUCAGCAUGUCGCGGUGAAUACGUUCCCGGGUCUU
rnacentral:rRNA from 1 species